GCAGGAAGUCAUCCGAACCCUUCGGGGGGACGUUGACGGAACGAGCGGCGGACGGGUGAGUAACACGUAAAGAACCUGCCCUCAGGUCUGGGAUAACCACGAGAAAUCGGGGCUAAUACCGGAUGGGUCAUCGGACCGCAUGGUCCGAGGAUGAAAGGCGCUCCGGCGUCGCCUGGGGAUGGCUUUGCGGUGCAUUAGCUAGUUGGUGGGGUAACGGCCCACCAAGGCGACGAUGCAUAGCCGACCUGAGAGGGUGAUCGGCCACACUGGGACUGAGACACGGCCCAGACUCCUACGGGAGGCAGCAGUAGGGAAUCUUCCACAAUGGACGAAAGUCUGAUGGAGCAACGCCGCGUGAACAAUGAAGGCCUUCGGGUCGUAAAGUUCUGUUGUAAG
rnacentral:rRNA from 1 species